rnacentral:rRNA from 1 species
GACGAACGCUGGCGGCGUGCUUAACACAUGCAAGUCUAACGGAAAGGCCCUGCUUUUGUGGGGUGCUCGAGUGGCGAACGGGUUAGUAACACGUGAGUAACCUGCCCUUUACUUUGGGAUAACUUCAGGAAACUGGGGCUAAUACCGGAUAUGAGCUCCUGCUGCAUGGUGGGGGUUGGAAAGUUUCGGCGGUUGGGGAUGGACUCGCGGCUUAUCAGCUUGUUGGUGGGGUAGUGGCUUACCAAGGCCUUGACUGGUAGCCGGCCUGAGAGGGUGACCGGCCACACUGGGACUGAGAUACGGCCCAGACUCCUACGGGAGGCAGCAGUGGGGAAUAUUGCACAAUGGGCGGAAGCCUGAUGCAGAAAAGCCGCGUGCGGGAUGACGGCCUUCGGGUUGUAAACCGCUUUCGCAGGUGACGAAGAGUGAGUGACGGUAAUGGGUAAAGAAGCACCGGCUAACUACGUG